CAAUUUUAAGCCUUGCUUGGUAAUCUGUUUAAUUUUGGCACUAGUUUUUUUUUUUUUUCGAGUUAGAAAGAUUAACUUUGUGUAUAAUAUGGUGAACCAAUCACACAUCUUGAUUGGAAGGAAAGUUUUAUUUAAUCGUUCGUAGAAUUGAGGCUUGACAUUUACCCUGAUAAUCUGGGUUGUAAAGGUCUGCAAGGAGGUCGCUCUAGGUCAUCGAGUUGGAGCUACAACUCUAAUUCUGAUUAGAAA
rnacentral:lncRNA from 1 species